rnacentral:rRNA from 1 species
GAUGAACGCUGGCGGCGUGCCUAAUACAUGCAAGUCGAGCGAACAGACGAGGAGCUUGCUCCUCUGACGUUAGCGGCGGACGGGUGAGUAACACGUGGAUAACCUACCUAUAAGACUGGGAUAACUUCGGGAAACCGGAGCUAAUACCGGAUAAUAUAUUGAACCGCAUGGUUCAAUAGUGAAAGACGGUUUUGCUGUCACUUAUAGAUGGAUCCGCGCCGCAUUAGCUAGUUGGUAAGGUAACGGCUUACCAAGGCAACGAUGCGUAGCCGACCUGAGAGGGUGAUCGGCAACACUGGACCUGAGACACGGUCCAGACUCCUACGGGAGGCAGCAGUAGGGAAUCUUCCGCAAUGGGCGAAAGCCUGACGGAGCAACGCCGCGUGAGUGAUGAAGGUCUUCGGAUCGUAAAACUCUGUUAUUAGGGAAGAACAAAUGUGUAAGUAACUAUGCACGUCUUGACGGUACCUAAUCAGAAAGCCACGGCUAACUACGUG